ACGGAAUCAUCUAAAAGACAAUGUGUGAGGAUUAAGCAUCAACACGGUUUGUUUAGUAGACUACAAAAUUUUCAAUUCUAAAACUCUUGGAUAAAACUUGGGUAUAUGGUAUAUAAUUAAGGACUUAGUUAUCAAGGAGGAAAGGCUUGAUGACAUACUUGAAAACAGUCCUUGCAUAAAGAUGAUAAGAUUCAAAGAAAGAGAAGAAGAAAAAGAAGCUCUUUAAAAAGUAAAUAAGUUAUGAUAAUAAAUAAUAAAAGAAGAGCUCAACCUCAUAUUCAACAGAAUAUUUGCGUAAGAAAAUUUAUAAGAGCGUUCGUUAGUGACCAUCAUUUGUUAAAGAAGAAGACGGUUCUGAUUGAAGGUCAUCAUCGUCCGUACGAUUGACUGAGUAUCGUUGACGGACGAGUUGAUGAACAAAAAUACUAGCCUUCAGGAACCUUUUUGAGGAGUAUUUUUGGAAAAAGGCUUUGUGUUCUAGAGGCUUGUUAUGAUAAUGAAGCAUAAUAUACGCUAUCUCCUUUAAUUCAUGCUCUUCAUACCCACCAGAGCUUUCAACUAACUUUGGCGUCCAUGGGCCGCGACGCAAUAAUCGGCGGCUCAAAUACAUUGCGGCAGCAGCAAUUUUAGACAUAGGAUAUCGUAAUAAAUCGUGGUCAAACAGAUAAAUUUCUGUUAGGUAUUUCCCCAAUGUCCUUGUUUGUGCAUCAUAACCUUCUGCUUGAGAUAUUUUGCGAAGAAAAUUUAAAGGACUUGGAUAGGACAAGUCAAAAUUGAGAACAUUUAACAUAUAACGUUCAGCGACACAGACAUCUUCUACGGUAAAAGCACCAUCAGUCAUGUAAACAAAGUUUUGUAUCGAAGGACACAUAACCUCCUCAUAUUUGCUAGCGAUGAGAAGAGCAGUAAUGCCUGUUAAUUGAAAUUUAGACAAAGAGCAUGAACGACGCGACAAGAAUCGAUCAAUUAUAUUGACUGCCAAAUAAAGGGUUUCGGGCAUUAAACAAAAGUUGGAAUGUAUUUCCACCAACCAUUCAUUCAAAAUUUCCCUCAUUUUCCAGGUUAAUUCUUUUUGUUGGUCCAUAUAUUUUGGAUUGGGAAGACACUUUAAAUCCAGCUUUCUGAUGUACUCAAAUAUUUCGGGUGCGUAUUCCUCAGCCAUCAAAGGAUUGGAGGAUAAAUGAUCAUCAACAUUAGAGACUCUGUCCUUUUGUAAAGUUUCUACAGAUGGAUCCGCAUUUUUGCUAUAAACUUUCAACUUUUUCACGAAUUUAGAUUCGACAGGUUUAUCAGCUUCUUCAUUUGUAGAUAAAUUAGAUUCAUCGAACGAUCUUUUCGCUUUUUUCGUAUCCUUCUCAUCAGCAUUAUUUUUACCUACAUUGGAAACAUCAGAUAGGACAGUUCGACGUGGCAGAUUAAUUUCAAAAUUUGUAGAUAAUUUUGUCUUCUCAGUCCCUUUUGAUAAAGCUUGUUUGCCAACAAGUGUGUUUUCAUCUUGAUAACUAUGCUUAUUGAUUUUAGAACCAACAGGCUUUGAAAUUGAAUAGAGAGCCAUAUGAAAUAUGGAUUGAUAAAUUACCCUUUUAUCAACGUAUAGAAAUAUAUCUGAUUGUUUGUAACCAAAAAUGUCUUCUUUUUAUUAAAAUAAGGAAACUGUUUUUGGUAAAUUAAUCUCAAUUGACAAGAUGGAUAAAUUAGGGAAAUUGAGCGAUCGAGAAACAGAAAGCACUUAUAGCGAAUUUUUAAAGUUUCUCUUUUAAAUGAGAAUAAAUCAAUGGGUCCGAAUUAUUCUAUUGUUGUUGAUAGGAAGAAAGGGAAAGAAAUCGUCCAAACAUAAACAAAUGAAUUGUGUAAACAAACCAAACCAACCUACUGUUGUGGAUAUAAACGAAAAAAAAAAACAAGCAGAUGUAAUCAAAAUUGAGAAAGAAAAAAAAGUAAAGAUAAAUUUUUU